rnacentral:lncRNA from 1 species
AUGUUCUGUGAGGCCGCACGCAACGAGGACCGCGAAGAGACCCGGGAAGCCAGGCGGGACAGAGUUAAGGACGGGACCCGGGAGCUCGCCUUCGAAAGGGGCAGCGACGGGACCCUGGAGCCCACACGCGACGAGAUCAACGACGGGACCCCGGAAGCCAUGCGCGACGAGAGCAGCGACGGGACCCGGGAGGCUGCGUUUGACGGGGACCGGGAGGCUGCGCGCGACGGGCCUGUCGGGGAGGCGAAGGACGCGGGGCGCGAGGCGACGGGCAAAGGUUGCCACAGCGGCGGGCCCCCGGGGCCCCGGCGCAGCCAGCCAUGCACCCGCGCCAGGUCCCGCGUGUCCUCGUGCUCGCGCCGCAGCUUCUCACGCUGCUCCAGCAGCUGGCGCCGCGUGUCAUGCAGCAGCUGGGCCCGCUGGAGCAGCCGCAGCAGCUCCUGUCGCAGGCGCGCGUUGUCCGCCUUGAUGGCCUGCGUGUGCGCGAGGAGCGCGCGCGCCGCCUCCCGCUCCGCGCGCCGCGCCAGGGACUGCACGCGCUGGCGAGCCUCGCGCUCGAAGGCCGCCUUGUCCUCGGUGAAGCGCCGCUUCACGCGGUGGAGCAGCUGCGUGUGCUCCACGCGCAUGUGCAGCAGUUCGCGCUCCAGCGCCCGGAUCCGGGCCAGCUGCUCCAGCUGCAGCUCCUGCGGCGGGGGCGCGGGUCAGGGCCCGGGCGCGGCGCGCGCCCACCCCGCCCGGUUCCUGGAGCCCGCCCGGCCGGCCCGUGGGCGCGCGCGCACUGGCCUUGUAGGGCUGCAGCUCCUGCACCUGCCGCGCCAUCUGCGCCGCGCGCGCCUCCAUCUCCAGCAGCUGCGCGCGCACCCCGUCCUCGCGCCCGUGGUAGUGCGACGCCAGCUCGCCCCGCUCCCAGUGGACCUGCGUCAGGUCCACGCGAUUCUGCUCGUCCAGCCGGACGAUGGCUUUGGCGCAGCGCUGCGCGCGCGCGCUCACGUAGCUGGCGUAGAGCCGGUUCUCCUCGCGCAGGCGCUGCGCCUCGCGGUCCAGGAAGGCGUUCUCCCGCAGCACCUGGUCCACGCGCUGCUCGCAGGCGUCCAGCUGCUCCGAGAGCAGCUUGUACUCGCGCUGCAGAUACUGCGCGCGCUCCGACAGUGGCGCCUCGGCGCCCUCUUUCGCCGCGCCUGGCCGGCGCCCUGUGCUCGGCCCGCGCCUCCUUUUGGGUGCCAUGGGUCGGCGUCGGGGUCUGGGGCACGGGUACGUGUGAGGGCACCGCCCAAGCCCGCUCCUCCAGCGCAAACCUUCCCCUCCCCUAGCCCGAAUAUUCUAGCGGGGUGGGACGGGUCUCAGGGUCCUGAGGUUGAGGGAGGCAAAAUCAGGGGUAUGGGGUCAACGUGGGGUCAGGGGAUGGUCGCCAACCUUUACUCGUGGACUCCUUCUGGACCUUGGCCGUCCGUCGGCGUGCGCCCACCUUGA